rnacentral:rRNA from 1 species
ACAGGAUUAGAUACCCUGGUAGUCCACGCCGUAAACGAUGUCGACUUGGAGGUUGUGCCCUUGAGGCGUGGCUUCCGGAGCUAACGCGUUAAGUCGACCGCCUGGGGAGUACGGCCGCAAGGUUAAAACUCAAAUGAAUUGACGGGGGCCCGCACAAGCGGUGGAGCAUGUGGUUUAAUUCGAUGCAACGCGAAGAACCUUACCUGGUCUUGACAUCCACGGAAGUUUUCAGAGAUGAGAAUGUGCCUUCGGGAACCGUGAGACAGGUGCUGCAUGGCUGUCGUCAGCUCGUGUUGUGAAAUGUUGGGUUAAGUCCCGCAACGAGCGCAACCCUUAUCCUUUGUUGCCAGCGGUCCGGCCGGGAACUCAAAGGAGACUGCCAGUGAUAAACUGGAGGAAGGUGGGGAUGACGUCAAGUCAUCAUGGCCCUUACGACCAGGGCUACACACGUGCUACAAUGGCGCAUACAAAGAGAAGCGACCUCGCGAGAGCAAGCGGACCUCAUAAAGUGCGUCGUAGUCCGGAUUGGAGUCUGCAACUCGACUCCAUGAAGUCGGAAUCGCUAGUAAUCGUGGAUCAGAAUGCCACGGUGAAUACGUUCCCGGGCCUUGUACACACCGCCCGUCACACCAUGGGAGUGGGUUGCAAAAGAAGUAGGUAGCUUAACCUUCGGGAGGGCGCUUACCACUUUGUGAUUCAUGACUGGGGUGAAGUCGUAACAAGGUAACCGUAGGGGAACCUGCGGUUG